CCUACGGGUGGCAGCAGUGAGGAAUAUUGGACAAUGGGCGCGAGCCUGAACCAGUCAAGUAGCGUGAAGGAUGACUGCCCUACGGGUUGUAAACUUCUUUUAUGAAGGAAUAAACUGAGGCACGUGUGCCUUUUUGUAUGUACUUUAUGAAUAAGGAUCGGCUAACUCCGUUCCAGCAGCCGCGGUAAUACGGAGGGGCCGAGCGUUAUCCGGAUUUAUAGGGUUUAAAGGGAGCGUAGAGGGGUUGUUAAGUCAGUUGUGAAAGGUUGGGGCUCAACCGUAGAACUGCAAUUGAUACUGGCAGUCUUGAGUACAGUUGAGGUAGGCAGAAUUCGUGGUGUAGCGGUGAAAUGCGUAGAUAUCACGAAGAACUCCGAUUGCGAAGGCAGCUUACUAAACUGCCACUGACGUUGAUGCUCGAAAGCGUGGGGAUCAAACAGGAUUAGAUACCCCUGUAGUC
rnacentral:rRNA from 1 species